rnacentral:rRNA from 1 species
UACGUAGGGUGCAAGCGUUAUUCGGAAUUACUGGGCGUAAAGCGUGCGCAGGCGGCUCUGCAAGUCAGAUGUGAAAUCCCCGGGCUUAACCUGGGAACUGCAUUUGUGACUGCAUGGCUGGAGUGCGGCAGAGGGGGGUAGAAUUCCACGUGUAGCAGUGAAAUGCGUAGAUAUGUGGAGGAACACCGAUGGCGAAGGCAGCCCCCUGGGUCAAGACUGACGCUCAUGCACGAAAGCGUGGGGAGCAAACAGG